CACUUUUAGUUGCCAUCAUUAAGUUGGGCACUCUGAAAGAACUGCCAGUGAUAAGCUGGAGGAAGGUGGGGAUGACGUCAAGUCCUCAUGGCCCUUACGUGUUGGGCUACACACGUGCUACAAUGGCAUCUACAACAGGAAGCAAAACGGCAACGUUAAGCAAAUCCCGAAAAGAUGCCUCAGUUCGGAUUGCACUCUGCAACUCGAGUGCAUGAAGCUGGAAUUACUAGUAAUCGUGGAUCAGCGUGCCACGGUGAAUGCGUUCCCGGGUCUUGUACACACCGCCCGUCACACCAUGGGAGUUGGUUCUACCUUAAGGCAAGGUUUUAAACCCUUGACCACGGUAUAGUCAGCGACUGGGGUGAAGUCGUAACAAGGUAGCCGUAGGGGAACCUGCGGCUGGAUUACCUCCUU
rnacentral:rRNA from 1 species